rnacentral:rRNA from 1 species
CGCCUCUUGCUUCCCAAGAAUAAGAGGUCUUGCCUGCCCUGUGACUAUAUGUUCAACGGCCGCGGUAUUUUGACCGUGCAAAGGUAGCGCAAUCACUUGUCCUUUAAAUGUGGACCUGUAUGAAUGGCAUAACGAGGGCUUAACUGUCUCCUCUUUUUAGUCAAUGAAAUUGAUCUCCCCGUGCAGAAGCGGGGAUAGAACCAUAAGACGAGAAGACCCUAUGGAGCUUUAGACACAAAGCAGACCCUGUCAAAGCCCUGUGAUAACAGUACCAAACUAAGUGCGACCUGCUUGAAUGUCUUUGGUUGGGGCGACCGCGGGGCACCAAAAAACCCCCAUGUGGAAUGAAAGCCACUUUUAAAACCAAGAGCCACCGCUCUAAGUAACAGAAUUUUUGACCAACAUAUGAUCCGGCCACGGCCGAUUAACGAACCGAGUUACCCUAGGGAUAACAGCGCAAUCCUCUUUAAGAGCCCAUAUCGACAAGAGGGUUUACGACCUCGAUGUUGGAUCAGGACAUCCUAAUGGUGCAACCGCUAUUAAGGGUUCGUUUGUUCAACGAUUAAAGUCCU